CAUACCUAUUCGAAGGGAUAGGGUCGGUUCGGCCGGGUUUCACACAGGUGUUGCAUGGCUGUCGCCAGCUCGUGUCGUGAGAUGUUGGGUUAAGUCCCGCAACGAGCGCAACCCUCAUCCUUAGUUACCAUCAGGUAAUGCUGGGGACUUUGAGGAAACUGCCAGUGAUAAACUGGAGGAAGGUGGGGAUGAUGUCAAGUCAUCAUGGCCCUUAUGGAGUGGGCUACACACGUGCUACAAUAGUGGCUACAAUGGGCUGCAAAGUCGCGAGGCUAAGCCAAUCCCUUAAAAGCCAUCUCAGUUCGGAUUGUACUCUGCAACUCGAGUGCAUGAAGUUGGAAUCGCUAGUAAUCGUGGAUCAGCACGCCACGGUGAAUACGUUCUCGGGUCUUGUACACACUGCCCGUCACGCCAUGGGAAUUGGUUUCACUCGAAGCU
rnacentral:rRNA from 1 species